rnacentral:misc_RNA from 1 species
CUUUUAUAUCCCUGUAUUUUCCAAAAAUGAGGAAGAAAAGGCAGAGGAAGAGCUUGUUAUUUACAACUGGGGGAAAUGUCUUAAGAACAUUGAAAAGGGUAGAAUUUCAACAGCAUGGUUUUCUCUUGAAACUGAAGAUGAAGAAAUUGUUCAGCUAAACAUUGGACACCUCCUCCAAGCUUUGAUAGGCUGCCCAAAUUUGACCCCCAAUUUAUCAGGCGGACUUAUUAAAUUUGACCACAGUUCUCUUGAUCUUCCAAAAAUUAAUACAUGUGCUCACUCAGUUACAUUUUGAAGAGUAAAACAACUUCAAAACUUUUCUGAAUUCCAAGAAGCAAUGUUAAAUGUUAUUGUUGGUGCAUAUGGUUUAGGAAAUGCCUAACUGUUUGAAAUAUAAAGUUUUCCAUGUAUCUU